CUCUUUCUCGUUCCCUUCAUUUCUUUUCUCGUUCACUUCUUCCAUAUCCCGUUCACCUAUGUCACGAGCUCGGCGCUAGGGUUCCAUGGCCGGCGACUCGAAGCUCGCCGCCGAGAAGGAAUCCGUGGCGGCAGAUCGGCCCCGGCGGUGCAUCUCGCACCCGACGCAAGGCCCAUGGGAGGAGGGCGGUCAGCGGCUCGCCACCGCCGAGGAGUCGGCCUGCGGACGGUCCCCCGCUCGGCCGCCCAGUCAUUGGCGGCGGCAACCGCAGCGACCCGUGCCCUCCUGCGGGAAUGGCGCGGAUCCAUCAAGUCGCUCCCCAUGCCACCGCCUUUCGCCGCCGGGUGAUGAUGGGGGUGAGGGCGAGAUCGAGAUCGGGGCCCCAAUCCACCGCCGAUGGCCACCAUGGAACCAACGUGGACAAGAAGCAGCAAUCGUGGCGGCGCCGGCCCCCUUCACGGGUCGAUCGCUGCCACCUCUACGCACGUCGCCACACCCUCGCUUCGUCCUCCGCCACCGUGGCGAGCACCAGCGGGAGAGGCGGCACCGGACUGUUGCAAGCCGACAAAAAAUGUCGAUGAUUAGAUGAAAUGUGGCAUUAUAAAGAUUGCUUGACUUGUAAGAAAUAAGUUGAGAAAUUUAGUAUGGGCAACGACAAGGCAUGAUGUGUAUCUUAUGUCAUACUACUCUGUGCUUCAUUGGUCAGCAUUGACUCCCGAGAAGCAAGAAAUCAUUGAUCUUUAGGGGCAUGUCGCACCAUGUGAGAAGCACCAUGGAAAUUUCUGUGUGGGAUUUUAUCAUUACUCAAGUAAGUACUUUGGCAGUGAAAAACAACUUGCUUGUUACUGGUGGAUUUCAUGGCGAAAUAAUAUGCAGAGUCUACAGAUUUCAUCCACAUCUUUGAUGUUGAUAGUGGGUACAGCAGUAAGCAGGAACUGGAUUUCUUUGGUGAGAUCGCAGGCCUAUCAUUCAGUCCUGACACUGAAGCUCUCUUUGUCGGUGUGCAUGAUCGUGCAUACAGCAGCCUCCUCCAGUUUAACCGCCGACGAUUCUACUCGGACCUUGACACAACACUGUGAAGUUGCUGCUGGCAAGGAAAUGUGAGUGAGAUCCAGAUCACAGGUUGUAGAAACUAGAAAGGUGUGUAUAUGUUCGUUGGUGUUACUAGCCAAGUUGUAGAUAUUCAGCUAGCCAUGUUUCUUUUGUUGAAAAAGGUUGUAGAUAUUCAGUGAGCCAUCUUUUCGGAGAUUUGUAUGUACUGUUUCUUCUGCUGCAACGUUGUUGUACUUAAAGGGCUACUUGAUCAACAGGUUCACGCAUGUUUUCAUCAAUUGAAGCUGGUUUUGGCAUCAGAACCUUCUCAUAA